ACCGGAGAACGGAGCGGCGCCCGGGGAUAACAACUGCAAUGAAUUAUCAUGUGUUAUGGACAUUGGUUGUGGAUCCACUGUACCAACUGCAGAAGUGGUUGCCUGCUGACCCACCGACAUCAUAGAAAGGCACCAAGACAGAACCAACCAAGGAACAGGACACAGGCAAACAAUAAAACAAGAUAUUUGGCAUAAGUGCAAACACAGCGAGCCCCUAAGGAGCUGGUGCAGAGGAUGGGAGUGGUGGCCGUGAUGAGAUGUUGUGUGAGAUGGUGUACUCCCUCAGGUCGUGGCUCCCUGUGGAUCGGUGGAAAGGUGGUUUGAAGAAUCAGGCCAGAA